rnacentral:rRNA from 1 species
CGGUGUUCAACUGGCGUGUCCGCGGGACGUCCUGCCGGUGGGCUUAGCCCGCAAGGGCGGCCCAACUUCAAAUCCCAUCGCGGUGCUCUUCACUGAGUGUCGAGGUGGGCCGGCACGUUUACUUUGAACAAAUUAGAGUGCUUAAAGCAGGCUAAAACUUCGCCUGAAUACUGUGUGCAUGGAAUAAUGGAAUAGGACCUCGGUUCUAUUGUGUUGGUUUUCGGAACCCCGAGGUAAUGAUUAAUAGAAACGGAUGGGGGCAUUCGUAUUGCGACGUUAGAGGUGAAAUUCUUGGAUCGUCGCAAGACGGACAGAAGCGAAAGCAUUUGCCAAAAACGCUUUCAUUGAUCAAGAACGAAAGUUAGAGGUUCGAAGGCGAUCAGAUACCGCCCUAGUUCUAACCAUAAACGAUGCCAGCUAGCGAUCCGUCGACGUUCCUCCGAUGACUCGACGGGGCAGCUUCCGGGAAACCAAAGCUUUUGGGUUCCGGGGGAAGUAUGGUUGCAAAGCUGAAACUUAAAGGAAUUGACGGAAGGGCACCACCAGGAGUGGAGCCUGCGGCUUAAUUUGACUCAACACGGGAAACCUCACCAGGCCCGGACACCGGAAGGAUUGACAGAUUGAGAGCUCUUUCUUGAUUCGGUGGGGUGGGUGGUGCAUGGCCGUUUUUAGUUGGUGGAGCGAUUUAUCUGGUUAAUUCUGAUAACGAACGAGACUCUAGCCUGUUAACUAGGCGUAUUUUCGACAUCUCAAAGGUCCGUCGUCCCGGCCCUCGGGUCGUGGGCGUGCGCGAUUUUUACUGUCGGCGUACUAUCAAUUCUUUUUAGAGGGACAGGUGG